UACGAAGGGGGCUAGCGUUGCCUCGGAAUCACUGGGCGUAAAGGGUGCGUAGGCGGGUCUUUAAGUCAGGGGUGAAAUCCUGGAGCUCAACUCCAGAACUGCCUUUGAUACUGAGGAUCUUGAGUUCGGGAGAGGUGAGUGGAACUGCGAGUGUAGAGGUGAAAUUCGUAGAUAUUCGCAAGAACACCAGUGGCGAAGGCGGCUCACUGGCCCGAUACUGACGCUGAGGAGCGAAAGCAUGGGGAGCGAACAGG
rnacentral:rRNA from 1 species